ACGCUGGCGGCAGGCCUAACACAUGCAAGUCGAGCGGUAGAGAGAAGCUUGCUUCUCUUGAGAGCGGCGGACGGGUGAGUAAUGCCUAGGAAUCUGUCUGGUAGUGGGGGAUAACGUUCGGAAACGGACGCUAAUACCGCAUACGUCCUACGGGAGAAAGCAGGGGACCUUCGGGCCCUUGCGCUAUCAGAUGAGCCUAGGUCGGAUUAGCUAGUUGGUGAGGUAAUGGCUCACCAAGGCGACGAUCCGUAACUGGUCUGAGAGGAUGAUCAGUCACACUGGAACUGAGACACGGUCCAGACUCCUACGGGAGGCAGCAGUGGGGAAUAUUGGACAAUGGGCGAAAGCCUGAUCCAGCCAUGCCGCGUGUGUGAAGAAGGUCUUCGGAUUGUAAAGCACUUUAAGUUGGGAGGAAGGGCAGUUACCUAAUACGUGAUUGUUUUGACGUUACCGACAGAAUAAGCACCGGCUAACUCUGUGCCAGCAGCCGCGGUAAUACAGAGGGUGCAAGCGUUAAUCGGAAUUACUGGGCGUAAAGCGCGCGUAGGUGGUUUGUUAAGUUGGAUGUGAAAUCCCCGGGCUCAACCUGGGAACUGCAUUCAAAACUGACUGACUAGAGUAUGGUAGAGGGUGGUGGAAUUUCCUGUGUAGCGGUGAAAUGCGUAGAUAUAGGAAGGAACACCAGUGGCGAAGGCGACCACCUGGACUGAUACUGACACUGAGGUGCGAAAGCGUGGGGAGCAAAC
rnacentral:rRNA from 1 species